UGAAAGGCAAUGAAGGGAAGAGUAGGCUUCUAUGUCUAUCUGAAAGAGAGCUAGGUUAGGUGAAAGCUAGCGUUAGAUGUUAAGCUGAACAUGGCCCCUGAGUUAUGUAGCUGAAAGUUCAAGUAGGCUAUAUCGGAUUUGUUUCCGUUAUAAUUACAAGGUUAUGAAAGUAACUUACUGAGUUCUAAGUCGUGAGGCUUAGAUAAAUUAGAGUGGUAACACGAGGAAUAUGCCUUCGUCUCUAUA
rnacentral:ncRNA from 1 species